rnacentral:tRNA from 1 species
GCAGCGGUAGUUCAGUUGGUUAGAAUACCGGCCUGUCACGCCGGGGGUCGCGGGUUCGAGCCCCGUCCGCUGU